AUGGAGAAGUCCAUGGAGCAAACCAACACUGAUGGAGAUGCUGUCCACCCCAAGCUCAAGAAUGAUACUGUCAACAUAUGGAGGAAACAUUACCAUGUGUCACUGUGGUGGGUGUUCGGAGGAGGAACCCAUCUGACUGUCACUGGUCAACCAACUGUACCGCCUUCGGUGCUGCUCUUCCCACCAUCCCAGGAAGAGAUCAAGACCAACAAGAAAGCCACCAUGGCCUGUCUCAUAGAUGGCUUUUACCCGGGUCUCAUCCAAGUCAGCUGGCAGGCUGAUGGCACUGCCAUCUCCUCGGGAGUGGAGACAUCCAAGCCCACCAAACAGGAUGACAAGUACGUGGCCAGCAGUUACCUGACCCUGAGUGACUCAGAGUGGGAACGCCAUGACAUUUACGACUGCAAGGUGACACAUGACGGGAAGACCAUCACAAAGACGGUGAACAGAGUGGAGUGUUCUUAAAGAUUGGGUGACUCAGUGGUGGUCAUCAUCCCACCAGUCACUAGGAAGAUAGUGUUCCUCAUCCAUGAGACCAAAUUCAUCCUCUCCUUUCCUCCUAAUGCUAGUUUGAUUGACAAAUGCUUAUUUCUGUCUGUUGUAGUUCCACUCUCCACACCUUCAAGCCUGUAUUUGCUGGGACUUCCUUGUAUGUUUGCUAGUAAUGUUAGCACAUUAAUAAAAUUUGACAUGUUUCA